AGCAGCCGCGGUAAUUCCAGCUCCAAUAGCGUAUAUUAAAGUUGUUGCAGUUAAAAAGCUCGUAGUUGAAUUUCGGGGUCAGUAGGUCGGUCGUGCCACUGGUAUGAGCUGGUUUUACUGAUUCCUCCCUCUUGAAGAACUGUAAUGCCAUUAAUUUGGUGUUGCAGGGAAUCAGGACUGUUACUUUGAAAAAAUUAGAGUGUUUAAAGCAGGCUUUAGCUAGAAUACAUUAGCAUGGAAUAAUGAAAUAGGACGUUUGAUCCUAUUUUGUUGGUUUCUAGGAUUGACGUAAUGAUUAAUAGGGAUAGUUGGGGGCAUUAGUAUUCAAUUGUCAGAGGUGAAAUUCUUGGAUUUAUUGAAGACUAACUACUGCGAAAGCAUUUGCCAAGGAUGUUUUCAUUAAUCAAGAACGAAGUUAGGGGAUCGAAGACGAUCAGAUACCGUCGUAGUCUUAACCCAUAAACUAUAGUCCGACUAGGGAUCGGAUGAUGUUAAUUUUUAUGUACUCAUUCGCGUACCG
rnacentral:rRNA from 1 species